rfam:Triticum aestivum genome assembly, contig: Triticum_aestivum_CS42_TGACv1_scaffold_130211_2BL
CUACUACUCCCUCCGUCCGAAAAUACUUGUCAUUGAAAUGGAUGUAUCUAGAUGUAUUUUAGUUCUAGACACAUCCAUUUUGAUGACAAGUAAUUCCGGACAGAGGGAGUAUUAU